UUGAGGGUAGUACCUUCAAUGGCAGAAAUAAACUACUGCAAGUCACCCCUGUUGACCACUGAGACACUAACAGGCUCUUUGCUGGAAUGACAUCUGAACCUGCCAGGGACAUGAACCUGCCAGGGCUUCCAGCAGGUGCCAGAACCUGACACCUCCUGAAGGCACUGGGAGCAAAGUGGUUGGUGGUGAUGCUGAUGGUGGGGGCUUUUGGGCUUUAUGUUGGAGGAAUAGUAACAUGAUGCUGGAGUCCCCUGCCUUUUCCCACAGUGGCCCUGAACCACCACUCUGCGGCUCCACUGGCUAACUAACGGCUCACUUGACUGUGGUUACAGGAAGCCCAUUGUUGGGAAGGACAGAAUUCAGGGGGGAAGUGGUGUAAUCCUGGCUCUGUCCUGGAUCAGUCAGUUUGGAUUUCACACAGGCCCCACGAUCAGGCCCAGUGCAGCCAAAGGCCCCUGGACACUGAGUUCCUUAGGAAACAGGCAAACACCUUUUACCUCACAGUGGCAUCAUAAAAAGAAGCCACAUGCCUUAAGAAAACAUAGACUAUUACUUUCUCUUUCAUCUGUACUGUUUUAUUAAAAGUUGAAAUGUGAAGUCACAGGAUACUGCACAUUCAAAUAAUGAAUUAUUAUGUUUAAAGUAUCCAUUUACAUCUUUGCCACUUAACUGUUUAGUCAUACUUUCUCCUCAUAAUUAUCUAAAUAGUCUUCUACCAAAUUACUAAAAUAAUACAAACAGUAUUAUGAUGUUUCUUUGAUACUUGUUAUUGUACUUGAUUCAUACUCUCCUCUCGAGAUGAUGAAUCCCAACACAGUAGAUACAUAGGCUACAUACUAUGGAUGGUGUAUCGUAGAGUUUAUGUCCACCAGGUGUCUUUCUGAGUGUCUUUUAAUUUUAUUCAGUUUUACAUAGGAGAGGCAUCUGUCUGUAUUACUUUUUACAAACCGACCACAGCAGCGGAUGUAAGAGUUUAAAGCUAGCUGACAUUGUUAACAAUGGCAGAAAAAUAGAAAAAACUUUUUUAAUCCCUAUAUUUCCCUACGGUAGCAUAGUACUGGCAACACAACCUGCUCGUCAAUCCAACAGCGAGAAUAUGACCAAUAUAAUGACAAAUACAAGCACCCAGACACUUAUCCAUUGUGCACUAUCCCUCUUUUCUUAUCUCACUAUGUCACAACUGGACACAACCCACCCAAAGUGAAACGCACAGCGCAUCAAACAGCAUUUGUGAGUGUUUAUCAUUGUCCUCAUCUGCCAUGCCUUUAUAUCCUGCUGGUCAGUCUGGUGACGAAUAUAAAGGUUAACCACCCCCUGUGACAAAAUGGAAACAUUCUUUUGCAAGUCUUACUUCUGAGCACCUCUCAGCAGUAUCUGACAAAUUGCGGGGUGCCUCAAUUGUUUCUUCAGUCUUCCAAAUGAUUUCAGCCUUCAGAUUAACUGUGAAGAGAACUAUCUGAGCUCAAAACUGCUAUUUUUCAUCAGUACAGUAGGUGGCUUGGAAAGGGCAAUAAAGUUGUGUCCAAUGUGAGUCAUGUUGUCUUUCAUUCAAUUAGACAAACUCUAGCCCACACAAAUGACAUUGAAAUAAAUUGAUGUAAUGACAAGAAUUCAUGCCUUGCAACAGUGAGAGGUGAAAAUCCACCCCUGCAAUUUCAGGCUUUGCACUUGGCAUGGCAUGUAAUGUGAUCUCAGUUGAGUCUGAGGAAAACACAUUCUUUUUUCUCUCUGUUUUACAUACAAGUGUAAGAGUAUGUAAGGCAUUUGUAGUUAUUUCAGGAGACACAGAGAGAGAGCUGCAGGGGUUGCUGGUUCAUUCUCCACCUAUGCUAUGGAGAGCAGAUAAUUGCUCCAUGGCCAGAAGGCUUUGAUUGGCUGGCUAGUUAGUGAUCAGAGCAGCGAGAUGUUUGGCUCUCUGUGGACACCAGAAACUCUGUAACAUAUGGCAGAGAGAAGUGGGCGGAAGGUUUUUUAAGUUGCUCUAAUCCUCAUUUUCUUUAUGACCUCUUACAUGGGUUACAAUGUCAUGUAAUGCCAUACAAUUUUAAGUUGGCCAUGGAUAUUUCUAGCACUUGUGAGAAUUGAAAAUGCAAGUAUAGAUUUGACCACAAGCAUGCACCACGUGUCAGGCAUCCAACUUAAAACUGUUUCAGAUAGAUUCAAGUUCUAAAAAACUUAACAGCAUGAAAUCUCUUCAAACAACAUAUUAUGUGCUUCAAUGUAUUAUCCAGCCUUUUUCAGCGAGACGUUUUGCCAGAACACUCGUUUGGAUUGUUUGAAAAGUCAGCAGCUUUAAAGCUUGGCAUAAAUGAUUACAAUUUUCAGGCUUCCAUUUUAUCUGCCUCUUUUCAUGCAUAAGCCACAGUAUGUGCAGCGACUUUAACAGCACUGACAAAGUAAAUAUACUGUUAAUAUGUACUGUAUAAACACCAUACACAAAAGGUUGGGUGAAGGGGAAUCUAAAUGGGACAGGUGUGAUGAUUAAUCAUUAUUUUUUUCAUCUAGGUCAUUACUUAGCUCAUACCUUUCAAACAGCUGUGCCAAUCACAGUGCUGGUUGAUGAAGAUGGGAGAGUGAGUGAGUGCAGACUGGCUUUUCUAAGUAGUAAAAUAAUAUUGUUGUCCAGGAGGUGCAGAAUGUCAAAGCAGAAACGUGGCACCAUAGAUAGACAGAGGUGCCUUUUGAAUUGAGUUUUAUGUUUGCAGAGAUAACAAAAGUCAGAUUUUUCACUUAUAAUUAUUGCAGUACAGAAAGACUAGAAUUUAAAAAGACAAUGAUCAAGCAACGGUAGCUCAACAAAUAUAUAAUGAUAAUAAUGUUGUUUGCUCUUAUUUUGUUUUACUUAAGUUUACAUUCUAUUAGAUUUGCCUCAAAUGGGCAAAGCCCUUUUCAAAGCACAGCAGUCUUUGCACCACCAGAAAAAAAAACCCUUAGCCUUUAUCAGACAAGUCCAUAAACAUUUGGACAGCGGGAUGACAUGUGACAUCGCACUUACUCUACAUGAUAUGUAUCUUAGCCAACUGAGCUACCAGAAUAUUUUGUGACAUUUAUUUUAUACUUGACUGAAGCUUAUCAGGGUCAAAUGCCUUCUGUGCAUCGGGUUGUUAAAAGGUGUUCACCAGCGUUUGCAUCCCUCUAUGGAGAUCCAGCUCUUUGUUAGAAAGAAAAUCCUUCCAAAAACCCCAGGGGGUCCUCAGUGUUAGUGAGCUUGAGGCUGCAAAGAAGACCUCUUUAACAUUACACACACACACACACACCACACAUUGUUAAAACAGUAUCAUGUUGUUGUGGACCCCUUUGUCCCCUCUCUUUGCCCCGUCUGUAAAGAAAUUUGGGUUGAUGUUUGUGAUGGCAGGGAUCCCUCUCAACAAACAAUGUCGAGAUUGAAAAGAGGAUUCUUCCUCUUUUCACUCUGGAGCCUUCUAGUCCGCUGCAAGUUUACAUGACCCUUCAACUCCUCUCUACACAAGCUGUUGAGUUUUGUUCAACAGCUUCUGUUUGGGCAUAUAAGGAGGCAUUGUUGCCCUGGUCACAGCAGAGGGAUGCUGAGUUUAGGAGUUUACGUAAGAAGGCCUUUCUAACUGGCUCAGCCUUGCAGUCUCUUGACAGAUCAUGUGAAAGAUACCAGGCCACAACAACAACACUUUAUGUGGCAACAUGCAGGAAAAUAUUUUUGCCUGCCAUUUGAAUAAACACAAAAUACGUAUUUGAGAAAAGAUGUCCUUGAUGUUAGUACAACUGCACACUGGCUUGUCAUAAACAAAAUUUUUAUUUAAAAAAUCUACUUUUUUUCUCCAAACUUGUUUUAGAAUGUUUUUAUGUAAUUUAUAUCCUCUAAAUUGUCAACACACCCUGUCCUGUCUGUCAAUUUUUUGCCAGACUGAUGUUGAGUUGUUUACUCAAGCACAUCAACUCACUUUUCACUUAAACUGAAUGAGCUUUCUGCAUCUACAAUAUUUCACGAAGCCUGUUCGGCAAUGUUGGAUGUGUCCAUCACUGCAUUUCUUGUUCAAGGAAGACAAGACAAUGGAUUUAUUAGGGAGACAGAUGAACUUCUUUUCAAAUCCCAUCAUUCUCUUGAGUGUCUAAAACCUAGACAGUUGAUGUGCAUAUGACAGCUGUCACAUUCAUCACAGUCUAGUCACAAACAAGCAGGAACACGUAGGCCGUUGUGUCUGAAAAUUCACAGUGCAACAUAGCUUUCAGUAAAGUGUAGCCUGCCAUCAGGGCUCUGUGUAGGAUCAUGAAACACUUGGCAUUUUGACUUGUGCCUUGUGAUUUAUCUUGCCUUGAGACAUAAUUUGGUCUGAGCCCGCAGCGAAAUAUAUACUUGGAUAAAUGCUAUGGCUUUGAGUUGAAAUAAACAAAUCCCUAAUGCCCUAUCAAUGUCCUUCCUGUUGGAAACAGAAUAACUCCUUUCACUUACCAAAAGGAAUAUAUAUCAUCAGAUAAAUGCUCCCUAGAAAUAGGAAACCAGGGACAGGCUUAACCACUUCUAAGCCCUGCUUCCCCAUAGACUUGUGUUUAUGAUAAAGGGUAAUGAAUGGAAAGUGGGUUUUAUCAGUGAAAGAUGGAGGAAUGGUUAGCUUGAGUGAUGCUUUUUGUCCCACAUGGCACAAUCAAGGCCUAUUUUUGAAGUAUACUCCCUCGUGUCUUUGUAGACCAAUUUUUGUGGAUAUUGGCUGUGGGAUUUUGCCGGCCCUGCUGUACAGUAUAGUAUGAAGGGCAGUCCAGUUAUCUGAAGAUACAGCAGAAUUGCUUGUCAUGCAAAUCACAAAGACAACUACUUUUAUAUAGUUUAACAUUCAGGAAACUUUAAAUGUGUUGCCUGGCAGUUAUAUCCUACAGUUCAAUUCACUUGGUUUGGUUGCACAGAAUUAAAUCUUGUAUGUCAACAGCUUUGCUGCAGUUGUCUCUUUGUCUGUGGUCUCAAUAACUUUCUUCCUAUAUAAAUAGAAAUUAAAGAAGGGCAGAGAUAAAGCUAUCUCUUUCAUAAGUUGUCUUUUCAUAAAUGCUGUAGGUUCAGGUUUUUAAAUGGUCCGUUUACAAGGAUGUUUGUUCCAUAUUCGGUGUGUUCGUACCACAGCGACAUCUCAUCACAUGCCUGUCUGCUUGAUUUCUUCUCUGUCUUGUCUUCUCGCCUGUCUUUUUCUUUUAAGCUGUCCUCUGUCUCCUUGCUCCUGAUCAGACCUGGCAUUGAGUUGAUUCAAAUAAGGCUGCUCAGUGGGCAUGGACACUCCUAUCGUCUAGAUUGGAUCACCGUCAGGAGAGGGUUUUCCCAUUGAGCUGACAAAUUAAUGAGCAGGCUCAACCUUCUCUGCAAUGAUUUCUUCUAUAUGAGUAUCAGUGAAAACAUUUGGUCUUCCAGAGUGCAGCCUAAUGCUGGGCAUUAGUGAGUUAAACAAUUCUCAUCUGUUUUAAUCUGUGCUUCUAACGGAGAAAACAAAUAAUAAAAGGUUACUGCUGAUCAAUAGCCUACACAAACUCAACCCAUCUGUCCGUAAGAUUAAUAAAUUAUGGUUUCAUUCAAAGAGAAGGGAUAGACUUUCCAGUUUUGGUGAUAUAUUUUGCUCUUGCUUAUUAACACCUUGUGUUGUCCAUGAACAGGCCUGUUUUUUCAUCAAGCCCUAAUUGACUGGAGGAUAUUGCUGAAGUGUAUUAUCAAUCUCUAUCUGUUUUGUGUGGAAGGACAUUGAUCAAUGGAAAUAGCUUUCCUCUGCUGACUGAAUUGGACAGUGUUGCCGGCCACUGCUCGGGCCACGUAAUGGAGCAUAUGAGAGCCAAGCCACCAGAUCAAUAAAGCAUUGAAAUAAGAAGAUGAAAUUCCCUUUUUCCUCAAUGAUUACAGGCUCAAUGGCUGAAUUUGUUAGAUUUCAAAAACUUUUUAUUUUCCUUUUGGUGUAAAAAUUAUUCUCUGAAAAAAAGGGCCAAACAACCAUCUCAAAGAUUUUUCUCUCCCUUCUCAGCCUCAAGCCCAUUAAAAUUCCUCUGAAGUUUUUUACAUAUCACUACAUCAAGUACACAUAAAUUAUGAAUGUCUCAUAUAGCAGCCUUGCACUUGUAGCCCCCGGGUUCCCUUGAAACUGAUUUGGUGUCUAUGAACUUUGUUGUUACAAGGCCCAGAGAAAAUUGGAGUAAUGUGCUCUCUCUGUGAUUCAUCAUUCACAGCUCAUAAUGCAGAACAUGCCAUAAUAAACAUCUCCACCUUCAUGUAUUACUUUGAGAUUGUGUUUGUUUCACCAUUAAUGAAUUUACUGUCAUAAGUCGGUUUUAAUAUGUAUGCAUGAGAAUGACUUUGUCUUAAUAGGGCUACAUGUUUCGAUACCCAGCAGGGAUGACAUAUGCUUAUUUCAGACAUCACAGGCAGACUGGGAUUUUCUUCAAGAUGCAGAAGGGUUUGGAGGUCAGCUGAGUGCACAUGUUCUGGUUAUCUUUUUGCAACAGUAAUCAUUUUCAGCACUAUUACUUUAAAUAGAGUGAGACCUCUAAUUGGCUCUGAUGUAUUUAGGGAAUCGCACCAACCAGUGUCUGCCAUCUUUGUUAUCAUAGUGUGGGAACAGAUGAGAGAGAGAAACAGAGUAAACUUAUAUUCAUAAGUUUCCAGACUUUAAACUUGGAGUACAAGUUGUGCUUUUAGGGGAAAGAGUAGAAAAGUAAUAUUUAACACAAAGGGACACAACUUUAAACAACAAUCAACAUUACCAUUAACAACAGGUAAUUAAACCUGUGAUAUCAUCCAUAUGUUUCUGAUGGGAUGCUUAAGAGCUUGGUAUUGGUACCUUGGUGAGUACCCCGUGCUACCAUCUUUUGUCAAUUACUAUAACCAGAAAAUCCAAAUUUGGCAAACAAUAUGGGGCUUGAAAGUAGAUGUUGGCUAAGCAACCAACAUGAGCCACCACAGCUAAGAUAGCCCGAAAUACCUGUCCCAAAACAUCAUUUGAUUUGAGCUUUUACAACCCCUUUAUAGGACAAAAAACUUUUAAAAUUGCUACCAAUACCCACACUUCACUGCGGUCCUUUUUCUUGGAGCCAGCAUCCAGCAGCCAUUAGAGGAAAUGCUACUUGUGCUUGGCUUCAAUGUUUAACACUGGUUGAAAAAUGUCCUAAUGAUUUAGAUUAACAAAACAACAAAAACAAAAUGUGCUUCUUUCAAACUGGAAAGAACGGGCCCUGCAGUUUGUCAUCAUGACCAUACCCAUUCUUUGACCCUGCAAACAGUGUAAAAUGAGCAAUAAUGAACAUUUUCUCAUUGCGUUACAUAGUCUAUCUUUAUAGUUUUUGACACCACUGUUCAGUGAAAUAUGUUGUAACUGUGCACAAUCACACUCAUAAUGUAGCAGCAAACAAAUUUGACAUCAGUUGACUCCAGUCUUGAAAAACAGGACAGAGAGAGAAGGAUCCUGGAGUAACGGGUGGUAGCAGCUGACAAUUACUAUUUCGUCUGCAUUUACUGUACAUUUGUCAAGAGUUUUAGUCUUGGGCUCGGCAUCAAGCUGUGUCUGUUUUGGCUUCCUGGAUAUGAUUUAUCCCCAUCAGUCCAGCUGAUGUUCCCCAGCUGUUUGUGUGACGGAUACUUUUGCACUGGCUCAUGCUGAAUAUGCUUUGCUUUUCAAGAGCAUCCAUCCCCACUGCUGCAGCACUCUUCGGCUUAUCCUGAUCCCCAGAACAUACAGGCAUAAACGCCUGUGUUUUUAGGCUCAGGCCUCUCCAACACACUACACCUCUUCCCCCCUUAGGGAAUAACAUAGUGUGAUAGAUAAGCUAUAAACAUCCAUACUCUUGUCUCCAUGGAUGCAAAUACUAAAAACCCAGAGCAUUUAAAAACCAAAAAGUAAGAAUUAGAUCAUGUUGUUUGAUAGUAUUUUUAGGCUGAAUGCAUUAUGCCAACAAGGUGCAGACUACAAGAAUGAAACCAUUAUAAAUCUUUUCAGAUCAAAUACAUAUUGUAUUAGUCAAAACACUAAAUGUAAGCUAUUAUUGUAUUCAGUGAUAGGUUUGUGUUGAGCAAACUUCGCUAGUGCUAUUUGAGUCACCUUUCUCUAAUUUUGUCAGCACAUUAGCUACUCGGGCUCAAGGACAUCUGACAGUCUGUUUUCACUCAUGACCUUAUUUAUAACUUAUUUACUACGCUCACACGUCCCUAGAGUUUCACUAAACUUGGAUUCCCAGGCUUUGAGAAAAGCACGCAGUGUGUCCUGGUGCCUGACUCACGUCUGUUCUAACCAUCCCCCCCUUCUAAACUUGUAACCAGCUGCACAUCAAAAGGAAUAUGAUUUAUUAGGGGUGCAACUCCCCAGGACUUUGAACGACCAUCGACUUGUUUAUCCAACUUAACAUUCUUGGCCAUAUCCAUAUAUAUUCUGUUUUCCCUUUCAUGUGGUUCUGCAGGGAUACAUCUACUGGCUGCUGGGGUUAUAGUCCACCUACAGUAAACGUAUGUUGGCUGCUUAUGUCACUCAUGAAGGAUUCGGGUUUGGGCCAUGGCAGUGACAUGGAUCAGUUCUGUAACUGUUCCUUGAAGGCAUUACAUAAUUGAUGUAUUUUCAUGGUGCUGCGGUUAGUUGAUGGCACACGGGGUGAUUCUGUUAAGAGCAGGCAUCAUUGACUCUUUUCCCUUGAAGCUGCCCAUCUUUUAGCCCUCAGAAUCCCUCAACCCUUUUUUCCCUGCCUCUCUCUGCAUCUCCCAAACGGAAAACAUGUGGCAGGAGUUGUCAUUUGUUAACGUAUAGUAGAAAGAGUGAAACAGGCCAGGGGAUGGCUCAUCAGGAACACUCAUUCAGGAUGAUGAAUGUAGCCAAAUACACAUUUGUCCGUAAAACUUGCAGUGUGGAUCAGCAUCAUUAGGCAUGAGGAAUAGGUGGAGCCCGCUGAGAAGUGAAUGCAGCAAACAGAUGUUGCAGAUUUUCACCAGCAUCUUUCAUCCAGAGUACCAUCAUUAAUAAAGUUGAAGGUGAUCCUUGUGUUUUCAUCUAAUAAAACCAAAUAAAGUAUGGUGGGAUUCUCGGAAAAUUGCUGAAUAAACUGAACAUCGCCAUGGCUUUUGAGCAAGGACCCAAGGUGCUCUGUUUGGUUUUGAAGUUAAGUUUUGGCUACAUGACACUGUAGUUAGGAUCCUGAGUGUAAAGUGUAUUAGCGCAUGCUUAUGAAGUCCUCAAAGGAGUAGAUUUCAGGAGAAAAAAAGCUGAGGUUAUACUAUGACAGACUUCAAAGGAAAAGUCAUAUUUUUUUGGUUAUGUUUUGUUAUAAGAAAAAGUGCAUAUAGUUAAAAUGCAAAGUUUACCUACAAGGCCACGCUUUUCAAUUCCAGACAACACUGAGAACAUGGAACUGGUUCUGUGAUAGAAACUGACAAUUGUGCUUUGGGUUGUACAACACUGUGUCAGUCUUUAGCUGGCCUGUGUGUUUUUCUGUGAGAUGCUGAAUGGUUGGAACUGAUACCAUGGGUAUGUCAGGUGACUGAGCCCCAUGUUCAAGCAGCUUGGCCCUGUUGUAGAGGGCCUCUAUCUUUGUCAGCCUUGUCUCAUCUUAUAAACAGGCCCAGACAGAGAAGCUUUACCAUGAAUAAUGCCUCAGGUCCGUAGAAUCUCAACACCUAUAAAUCUUAAUAGAGGUUCCCAGAUUCCAAUGGGCGGCCACAUCUCUUUCCCACCCUGCUCAGCUCUAUUCCACCCCCCAUGCGGAAUCUCCAAUUUUCUCUCCCAAAGUAAACCCACAGUGACUUGAAUUUGCCCAUGCCAUGAUUUACCUACAAACAGGAUUACAUGCAUAUAGCUCAUGCAAAUCAAUAAAAAAUGUCAAGAAUGCUUAGCCUCCUGCGGUUUGCUAAAUACAAUUUAUCACUCAGGGAAUCAGGGGAAGGGAAUGGGCUAACAAAUGGAGUCUGAUCAUUUGCAUUGGACCUGUUGUCAAAUACUUGAAGAGUGCAUUUUUCAUUUUCUGUACAGUAAAUUGCACUUGGUUGUGUGCUUGUUUCAAAGGGACUAGUAGAGUCCCUGCUUAUUGCAUUUAGUAUGGAAACCUAUGCUUUUAUGAACUGCUGUACGGUGUUUACUUCAAUUCACAAACAGAUUGUUAGGGUAUUUAGAGAAUUCACAUGGAAUUAAAGCCAUUUUAUGUAUUAGCCGUGAGUAUAGCUAUAAUCUUAGCAUGUUAUUUUGUGCUAAUAUGUUCCUUUAAAGUCAAGACAAAAACAUAAAGAAGUCAUAUCUUUAAACUAUUCUCUCUGUGUAGUUGAUUGACCCUCAAACUUAAGCUGCAUCAGUCAGCCUGAUAUGAAUUACAUGUUGCAUAUUUCAUGCUUGCCUACUGAAUUAUAUUAACUGGCUUUGAAGUGAAGGAAAAUAUACUUAUAAAUCAACCAAUCUCAUGUAUAUCGAGUUUCUCAGUCAGCGGACAGUCAUCAAGAAUGCUGUGCAUCAUCUUAACCAAGAUUGGGUGUGUGUUGGUAUGAUGAGCACAGAUAUUGACACUUUGAGAGGCGUCUUGCUUUGAUAUGUCCAUCUAUGCCUUUGGGCUGAGGCUGGUCAACAUGAUGCCCACUGAUUCCCCAAAUUGAGCCUGCUUUAGAUUCAUCAAUCAUAAAUUGGGAAUGUGUCACCUUUGAAGUGCAAUUACAGUGCAUGAUGAGGUGGUGGAUUUUGUGAACUCGCUAUUUCACUACUCCACCCCAAUUUACUUUUGAGUAUGUAGACAAGUCAAGCUUAAUAGAUAACCAACAGAUUGGCCUGCUAUUUUAAAGAGGCAAAGGUUGGCUCUGUGUUGUUAGUGGGCCAGGUUCUAUUUUAUGUGCUGCUGUUAACAGCCUCUUUUGAAAAUGGUUUUGCUACGUUAAUGCAUUUUACAAACACAGUCAGUCAUUUACUGAAUUUGAGCAGCUUUUUCGACCGCAAGGACUGGGGACUAGGAACCUUUGGAGGAACCUUUGGAGGACCAGGGUCUAAAUUAAGUUCCGGGGACAUUAUUUUACCCCCCAAAAGGUCCCUGCUCAGGGGUAGUACGGGAACUUUCGGGGUGGGGCUUGCUGUACUGACCAUUUCUGAUUGGUCAAGCUCCGACUGGUGGAGCAGCAAGUGGUUUGACCGUCUGGAUCGAUGCGUUGUUGGGUCACAGGCCGGCCUUCUCUGGCGCAGCGGCUCAGCUACUGUGCUGCUGGAAGCUGUGGUGGAAGACACACGGAAACGGAUGACCAGUCGGUUGAAGUGUUUUUCAGAUGAAACGGACUGUUUAAGUGAACUGCAGGCUGCGGAGACCAGUGUGUUUACUCCUACAACCAAUAUCAGCCAUCGUCCCAUGUCUCCUGCUGAAGCACACAAACGCUGUAUUUUGCACAUUUAUUUUUCUGCACAUUAAUAAAUAGUUGUGGAACUAAAUGUGUGUAUAGUGGCUGUUCUCUGAAAACAAGUAUAUAUUACUGUAUAUGUAAAAAGACUCGUAAUGCUUAUUAAUAUUUACAACGCUCUGAGGAUGUAGUGGCUGUCAGUUUCACCAUUAUACACCGGUAAGCUCAGUAUUUAAAACAGGUGAGAGUGCAUAGGUUAAGAUAAGCAAAGGUCCUUGCUGACCUGCUGAAUUGCAGGUGAUGUGUUUAGUAAGUUAAAACAAUAGUUGCAGCUGUGUGAUGGGCGUAACCUAAUGGGUGUAAUUUGCCUAAUCUUCCCGGGUCUUUAGACUGCGGUGGAAACGCACACAACAAUGGGCAGAAGGAACUUUAUAGUUCCUUGAAAAGUUGUUCCUGGGGAUAAAAGUUCCUUGUACUUUUGGUGGAAAAGCAACUUUAAUGAAUAGCCUAGUGCCUCAAAAAUGUUGGCUUCAUUCAAGAUUCUGCACACAUGCAUUAUGCUUUCAUUUAAUCCCAAUCAUCCUGUUUUGAUCUGUAUCAGGGCCACUCUUAUUUUUGCAUCCAAAUGCCAUCAGUUCAUAUAAUGAAUAUGCCAUUCCUCUGCUUCAGUUACUUUGGCAUUGUUCCAUCCCCCACCCCCAACAAAAAGCUCUGUACUAUAUUCCCAUAUGGUCAUGAACACAUUCAUUCACAGUGCAAUGAUCACUGAAUGUGUCUUUAGAAUCACUGUGGUGUGUUGCAGCGAGUGCCCCCACAACUAUUCCUCUUUCCUGGUUCAAAGAUAAAUUAGCAGCUUCUAAAUAAUGCAGUGAACCCUAAUUCUCUUUGAUUAGUGGCAAGUUAGAUGAUAGCGACCCAUUGAAAUUGAUCAUCAGCAUAAAUAAUGACUGAAUGAACUGAUAAAAUGCAAAGUUGCUGGCCAUCAUAAAUCAAAUGAAAACCACUUGGUGUGGAAGUCAUUGGAAUUAGAAGUCCAUGCUCCUAUUAAUUAUGUUGCCUUGCUAAGGCGACAGUGUUAUAAAUCAGUUGUGAAAGGUACUCCAGCCGGCUGGCCUGCCUAGCAAGGCCUGCUGCCUGAAAAUGGCUCUGUACACCCCCCUAAUUGUUUCUUAAACAAGCCACCUCUAGAGGCUGAGGUUGAUGGACACAGUUUAAGAACAGAAUGGAAAAUGUAGGAGAAGGUUGCAUUGUAUAUAGUUUGCACAGUUACAUUAAAAUCCACAACAAGAACUCUUUAGUUUCAUCUAUGUUGUUUACCACAAAGUUAUUGUCAGUCUCUCAGACAAGAUUAUAUAAAGUUUCUCUUAUACAGCUUAAACUUUGUUCGAAAGUUUGUCCAGAAGAAGGCCAGAGUUUCUUGGUACUUUUAUCACAGCGUGUAUUCUGUCUGGCAGAAACACUGCAUGUUCUUGUAAAAUUUGGGUGUCAGAAUUAUUCCAUUAAGACUGUCUGAUGAUGCUACAGCAUGUUUCAUGCUGGAUGUUUUCAAAUGUUUCCAAAGACGUUCAGUGGAGUUGAUGUGAACUCUCCAUGCGAAGCUCAAAUGAGCUCGCUGGUUACAACUUAGGUUCAAACUCUGAUGCAUCUGUAAAAAUGUCUUUCUUCCAUUCUCCAGCAGUGACAUUGGUUAUGGUCAAAGAACUGAUUUUGAAACUACUACUCACAUUCAUUAACUGGAGCAGGAUAACAUUGCUCUGUUGGCUUUGGCUAGGGCUGUCACGGUAUUAGAUUUUCAAUACACGAUUAUCAUGGCCAAAAGAAUUCACAAUAACGAUAUUAUUGCGAUAUCUAUAGAAAAUUUGGAAAAAAGUUACCUAGCUAAAACCUAGCUAGUUACUGUGUCGUCUUCUGUUUUUCAUUUUAUGGCAGGUGGCAACCAGCAUUAAGGUGCAUUACCGCCACCUACUAUGACAAAGUGAGAAUGGAAAGAAAAGGAAAUGAUUUAAGAGGCACUGGAUUAUUUACACUAUAUUAUCAUAUGUGUAUUAUUAACAUGAUAUCAAUAUUUAAUUUAUACAAUUAAAUAUAUAUAUAUAUAUAAUAUAAUACCGUCAAUAUUGGUAUAUCGCGACACCCCUAGCUUUGGCCAACAAGUCCUUUUUCAACUUAAAACACUUGUAGUAGCAAUUACAACAGAAGACCUACUAAUUGAGUCAGUAUUUGCUGUUAGUCUUUGAAAAACCUGAACAAUUUAUUCUAUGUAUGAUAACUACAAAGAAUAUGGAGCUUAUUCCCAGAUCAAAUGUAUGUUGAAGGGCCUUGAAUAUUGUCUUCUGUAAUUGUAAUGUUAUGUUAAAUGUAUGUAUCUUUGUUUCUUGUCUUAUUUUUUGUCUUUUCUGUUCAGUUGCUAAUGGAGCUACUGUGAUGCAAGAAGAGUUUCAGACUUGAUCUGACAAUAAAGUAUUAUCAUCAUCAUGUAUACACAA